rnacentral:tRNA from 1 species
GGAAGCGUAUCGAAGUGGUCAUAACGGGCUUGACUCGAAAUCAAGUAGCCGAGUAAUCGGCUCGAGGGUUCGAAUCCCUCCGCUUCCGCCA